AGUCCCGUGGUGAAUUUNCACAUUGAAUUGCAAAUUCAAAGGAGCAGCUUCAAUUNCUGCCAGGGCUU
rnacentral:tRNA from 1 species